CCAAAGGGCGCUGGCGGAUGCCGGCUGAGAUGGGCGAUACUCUUCGUCCGGUCCCUCGAACCUGAUCCGGGUAAUGCCGGCGUAGGAAUGCGAAUG
rnacentral:ncRNA from 1 species